rnacentral:lncRNA from 10 species
CCUCGCUGCCGCCUUGCAGUUUGAUCUCAGACUGCUGUGCUAGCAAUCAGCGAGACUCCCUGGGCGUAGGACCCUCCAAGCCAGAUGCCGGAUAUAAUCUCUUGGUGCGCCGUUUUUUAAGCCCAUCUGAAAAGCGCAGUAUUCGUGUGGGAGUGACCCGAUUUUCCAGGUGUCGUCCCUCACCCCUUUCUUUGACUCAGAAAGGGAACUCCCUGACCCCUUGCGCUUCCCAAGUGAGGCAAUGCCUCGCCCUGCUUUGGCUCGUGCACGGUGCGCACACCCACUGACCUGCGCUCACUGUCUGGCACUCCCUAGUGAGAUGAACCCGGUACCUCAGAUGGAAAUGCAGAAAUCACCCGUCUUCUGCGUCGCUCACGCUGGGAGCUGUAGACUGGAGCUGUUCCCAUUCGGCCAUCUUGGCUCCUCCGAACUCCAAUUUUGAAAUAAAUUAUACUGUGGCUAAAAUGUUGUCAAACAGCAUAACACGCUACAGAGAAAACUUUUAUGAAAGGAAGAGUCAAUAGUUGUAGAAAAAUUUUUGUUGUUUAAUUUUAAGAAAUUAUGACAGCCACCUCAACCUUCAGCAGCCACCACGCUGAUCAGUCCAGCAGACAUCAACACUGAGCAAAUUCCAUCUAAUUCUUCAAGGUCCAGAUUACCUGCAACCAUAAAUUUAGGAACUAAAGAUAACACAGAUCCAUGCAUCAAGAAGAGCUACAUCCAAGGAAACUCAUCCAUGCCUGGACUUAAUUUAUAUAAUGAAAUUCUGAACUUUCAAUAGAUGCUGUAAUAGGAUGAGAGUUUUGGAGAUCUUGGGAGGGAAUGAAUGUGUUUUGCAUGGGGAAGGGACAUGAAUCACUGAAGCCCAGAUGAUGGACAAUGGCUGACAGACUCUAAAAAUGGCCCCAUGAUCUCCACCUCCUGGUAUCCAUACCUCUACAAUCCCUUCCCCUUAUUCAAUAGAGUACAAAAGAAGGAUAGGAUUUCACUUCUGUUAUUACAUUACAUACAACUGUAGUACCUGUCUUGCUGGAAGACUUCCCCUUUCCUGGCUUUAAAGAAAAAAGUUACAAAUUGUGAACAGCUGUCCCCUGUAGAAGCCAUGUUACAAUGAACUGAGGAAAGCCACCGGCCAACAUCCAGCAAGAAUCUGAGGCCCUCAGUCCGCAUUCCUCAAGAAACUGAAUGCUGCUGACAAAAAUACAAGAGGAAGUGGAUCCAUCCCCAAUCAAGCCUCCAGAAAAGAACACGGUCUUGGCCAAAACCUUGAUGGUAACCUUGGAGAAGACUCAGCUAAGCUGUGCCUGGAUUUCUGACUCACUGAAACUGUGGGAUAAUAAAUGUGUGUUAUUUUCAGCCAAUAAAUUUGCAGUAAUGUUAUUAUGCAGCAAAAGUUAACUAAUUUAUUAUCUUUCAGUACCUUAUCCUUGAUUGAUGUUUGUUCUGUAUAAAAUUGCAUACUUAAAAUAUAUAAUUUUUACUCAAAAUUUUGAAAAAUAAUAGUAUCUUCUAACCCAUAAUGUUGAUAUUUAGAAAUCUGAUACAUUAUAAUUUUUGAACCCUUG